GACGAACCGUACGAACGUUAUUCGGAAUUACUGGGCUUAAAGGGUGCGUAGGCUGCGCAGCAAGUUGGGUGUGAAAUCCCUCGGCUUAACCGAGGAACUGCGCCCAAAACUGCUGUGCUCGAGGGAGACAGAGGUGAGCGGAACUUAGGGUGGAGCGGUGAAAUGCGUUGAUAUCCUAAGGAACACCGGUGGCGAAAGCGGCUCACUGGAUCUCUUCUGACGCUGAGGCACGAAAGCUAGGGGAGCGAACGGG
rnacentral:rRNA from 1 species